rnacentral:rRNA from 1 species
UAGGGAAUCUUCGGCAAUGGGGGGAACCCUGACCGAGCAACGCCGCGUGAGUGAAGAAGGUUUUCGGAUCGUAAAGCUCUGUUGUUAAGGAAGAACGAGUGUGAGAAUGGAAAGUUCAUGCUGUGACGGUACUUAACCAGAAAGGGACGGCUAACUACGUGCCAGCAGCCGCGGUAAUACGUAGGUCCCGAGCGUUGUCCGGAUUUAUUGGGCGUAAAGCGAGCGCAGGCGGUCAAUUAAGUCUGAUGUGAAAGCCCCCGGCUCAACCGGGGAGGGUCAUUGGAAACUGUUUAACUUGAGUGCAGAAGGGGAGAGUGGAAUUCCAUGUGUAGCGGUGAAAUGCGUAGAUAUAUGGAGGAACACCGGUGGCGAAAGCGGCUCUCUGGUCUGUAACUGACGCUGAGGCUCGAAAGCGUGGGGAGCGAACAGG